rnacentral:rRNA from 1 species
GAUGAACGCUGGCGGCGUGCCUAAUACAUGCAAGUCGAGCGAACAGAUGAGGAGCUUGCUCCUCUGACGUUAGCGGCGGACGGGUGAGUAACACGUGGAUAACCUACCUAUAAGACUGGGAUAACUUCGGGAAACCGGAGCUAAUACCGGAUAAUAUAUUGAACCGCAUGGUUCAAUAGUGAAAGACGGUUUUGCUGUCACUUAUAGAUGGAUCCGCGCCGCAUUAGCUAGUUGGUAAGGUAACGGCUUACCAAGGCAACGAUGCGUAGCCGACCUGAGAGGGUGAUCGGCCACACUGGAACUGAGCCACGGUCCCGACUCCUACGGGAGGCAGCAGUAGGGAAUCUUCCGCAAUGGGCGAAAGCCUGACGGAGCAACGCCGCGUGAGUGAUGAAGGUCUUCGGAUCGUAAAACUCUGUUAUUAGGGAAGAACAAAUGUGUAAGUAACUAUGCACGUCUUGACGGUACCUAAUCAGAAAGCCACGGCUAACUACGUG